rnacentral:rRNA from 1 species
UCUACGUCGGCGACCGGCGCACGGGUGCGUAACGCGUAUGCAACCUACCCAUUACAGGGGGAUAACACUGAGAAAUCAGUACUAAUACCCCAUAACAUCCAGGGAGGCAUCUUCUUGGGUUGAAAACUCCGGUGGUAAUGGAUGGGCAUGCGUUGUAUUAGUUAGUUGGUGGGGUAACGGCUCACCAAGACAACGAUACAUAGGGGGACUGAGAGGUUAACCCCCCACAUUGGUACUGAGACACGGACCAAACUCCUACGGGAGGCAGCAG